AAUUUGUCAUGCUCCACGGUGACUUUUUUGGUCCGUGCGUGCGCGCUGUAUUCUUGGAUGCAGGUGCAUGAGGUGAACAUGGGUCUUUUUUCCCACUGUGUCCCUAUAUCUUUCGGUUGACUUGGAUGAUGCAUGUCUCUUUUUGCGUUGUUUGCUUCCCACCACUGGGUGCAAAGAUUGCAACUUGAGCAGUGUCAUUGAUGGAUGCUACCUGGUUGAUCCUGCCAGUAGUCAUAUGCUUGUCUCAAAGAUUAAGCCAUGCAGUGGUAA
rnacentral:misc_RNA from 1 species